GAUGAACGCUGGCGGCGUGCCUAAUACAUGCAAGUCGAGCGAACAGACGAGGAGCUUGCUCCUCUGACGUUAGCGGCGGACGGGUGAGUAACACGUGGAUAACCUACCUAUAAGACUGGGAUAACUUCGGGAAACCGGAGCUAAUACCGGAUAAUAUAUUAAACCGCAUGGUUCAAUAGUGAAAGACGGUUUUGCUGUCACUUAUAGAUGGAUCCGCGCCGCAUUAGCUAGUUGGUAAGGUAACGGCUUACCAAGGCGACGAUGCGUAGCCGACCUGAGAGGGUGAUCGGCCACACUGGAACUGAGACACGGUCCAGACUCCUACGGGAGGCAGCAGUAGGGAAUCUGCCGCAAUGGGCGAAAGCCUGACGGAGCAACGCCGCGUGAGUGAUGAAGGUCUUCGGAUCGUAAAACUCUGUUAUUAGGGAAGAACAAAUGUGUAAGUAACUAUGCACGUCUUGACGGUACCUAAUCAGAAAGCCACGGCUAACUACGUG
rnacentral:rRNA from 1 species